rnacentral:rRNA from 1 species
GAUGAACGCUAGCGAUAGGCUUAACACAUGCAAGUCGAGGGGCAGCAUGGUCUUAGCUUGCUAAGACUGAUGGCGACCGGCGCACGGGUGCGUAACGCGUAUGCAACUUGCCUCACAGAGGGGGAUAACCCGUCGAAAGACGGACUAAUACCGCGUACACUUGGGAUGGGGCAUCCUGACCCAAGGAAAUGAAAUUCGCUGUGAGAUAGGCAUGCGUCCCAUUAGCUAGUUGGUGAGGUAACGGCUCACCAAGGCGACGAUGGGUAGGGGAACUGAGAGGUUGAACCCCCACACUGGUACUGAGACACGGACCAGACUCCUACGGGAGGCAGCAGUGAGGAAUAUUGGUCAAUGGGCGAGAGCCUGAACCAGCCAAGUCGCGUGAAGGAUGACUGUCUUAUGGAUUGUAAACUUCUUGUAUACGGGAAUAACAAGAGCCACGUGUGGCUCCCUGCAUGUACCGUAUGAAUAAGCAUCGGCUAACUCCGUG